CAGAGGGGGCAAGCGUUGUUCGGAAUUACUGGGCGUAAAGGGCGCGUAGGCGGCCUUCUAAGUCGAACGUGAAAUCCCCGGGCUCAACCCGGGAACUGCGUCCGAUACUGGAAGGCUUGAAUCCGGGAGAGGGAUGUGGAAUUCCAGGUGUAGCGGUGAAAUGCGUAGAUAUCUGGAGGAACACCGGUGGCGAAGGCGACAUCCUGGACCGGUAUUGACGCUGAGGCGCGAAAGCCAGGGAGCAACGGGAUUAGAUACCCCGGUAGUCCUGGCCUAACGAUGAAUGCUGGUGUGGCGGGUAUCGAUCCCUGCCGUGCCGAAGCUAACGCAUUAAGCAUUCCGCCUGGGGAGUACGGUCGCAAGGCUG
rnacentral:rRNA from 1 species